AACGAACGCUGGCGGCGUGCCUAACACAUGCAAGUCGUGCGAGAAAGUUCCUUCGGGAGCGAGUAAAGCGGCGCACGGAUGAGUAACACGUAGGUAACCUGCCCCCCAGUCUGGAACAACUAGAGGAAACUCUAGCUAAUGCCGGAUGAGACCACGAUCCCUUCGGGGGUUGCGGCCAAAGAUGGCCUCUACUUGUAAGCUAUCGCUGAGGGAUGGGCCUGCGGGCCAUUAGCUUGUUGGUGAGGUAACGGCUCACCAAGGCUGUGAUGGCUAGCUGGUCUGAGAGGAUGACCAGCCACACUGGGACUGAGACACGGCCCAGACUCCUACGGGAGGCAGCAGUGGGGAAUAUUGCGCAAUGGGCGAAAGCCUGACGCAGCGACGCCGCGUGGGUGAUGAAGGCC
rnacentral:rRNA from 1 species